rnacentral:rRNA from 1 species
UACGGAGGGUGCGAGCGUUGUUCGGAAUCACGGGGCGUAAAGGGCGUGUAGGCGGUCUGUUAAGUCUGAUGUGAAAGCCCGGGGCUCACCCCCGGAAGUGCAUUGGAUACUGGCGGACUCGAGUCUCGGAGAGGAGGGUGGAAUUCCUGGUGUAGCGGUGAAAUGCGUAGAUAUCAGGAGGAACACCGGUGGCGAAGGCGGCCCUCUGGACGAUGACUGACGCUGAGACGCGAAAGCGUGGGGAGCAAACAGG